CCCCUAGAUGUUCUGGGCCGCACGCGCGCUACACUGAACAGUUCAACAAGUCUUAACCUUGGCCGAUAGGUCUGGGUAAUCUUUGAACGCUGUUCGUGAUUGGGAUAGACCUUUGCAAUUAUGGGUCUUCAACGAGGAAUUCCUAGUAAACGCAAGUCAUCAGCUUGCAUUGAUUACGUCCCUGCCCUUUGUACACACCGCCCGUCGCACCUACCGAUUGAAUGGUCCGGUGAAAUCUCGGGACGGCGGCUUCGUCGCUUGCGUCCGACUGCUGAAACUUGAUUAAACCAUAUCAUUUAGAGGAAGGUGAAGUCGUAACA
rnacentral:rRNA from 1 species